UUCGUGCUGGAGAAAGGACUCGGCCUUGAUCUCGGCAAGGAGAUGCAGCGGCGGGUCUUCGACCGCUUCGGCAUGAAG
rnacentral:tRNA from 1 species